rnacentral:rRNA from 1 species
GCUUGUUGGUGAGGUAAUGGCUCACCAAGGCGACGACGGGUAGCCGGCCUGAGAGGGUGACCGGCCACACUGGGACUGAGACACGGCCCAGACUCCUACGGGAGGCAGCAGUGGGGAAUAUUGCACAAUGGGCGAAAGCCUGAUGCAGCGACGCCGCGUGAGGGAUGACGGCCUUUCGGGUUGUAAACCUCUUUUCAGUAGGGAAGAAGCGAAAGUGACGGUACCUGCAGAAGAAGCGCCGGCUAACUACGUGCCAGCAGCCGCGGUAAUACGUAGGGCGCAAGCGUUAUCCGGAAUUAUUGGGCGUAAAGAGCUCGUAGGCGGUUUGUCGCGUCUAUCGUGAAAGUCCGAGGCUCAACCUCGGAUCUGCGGUGGGUACGGGCAGACUAGAGUGAUGUAGGGGAGACUGGAAUUCCUGGUGUAGCGGUGAAAUGCGCAGAUAUCAGGAGGAACACCGAUGGCGAAGGCAGGUCUCUGGGCAUUAACUGACGCUGAGGAGCGAAAGCAUGGGGAGCGAACAGGAUUAGAUACCCUGGUAGUCCAUGCCGUAAACGUUGGGCACUAGGUGUGGGGGACAUUCCACGUUUUCCGCGCCGUAGCUAACGCAUUAAGUGCCCCGCCUGGGGAGUACGGCCGCAAGGCUAAAACUCAAAGGAAUUGACGGGGGCCCGCACAAGCGGCGGAGCAUGCGGAUUAAUUCGAUGCAACGCGAAGAACCUUACCAAGGCUUGACAUGUGCUAGAUCGCCAUAGAAAUAUGGUUUCCCCUUUGGGGCUGGUUCACAGGUGGUGCAUGGUUGUCGUCAGCUCGUGUCGUGAGAUGUUGGGUUAAGUCCCGCAACGAGCGCAACCCUCGUUCCAUGUUGCCAGCACGUAGUGGUGGGGACUCAUGGGAGACUGCCGGGGUCAACUCGGAGGAAGGUGGGGACGACGUCAAAUCAUCAUGCCCCUUAUGUCUUGGGCUUCACGCAUGCUACAAUGGCCGGUACAAUGGGUUGCGAUACUGUGAGGUGGAGCUAAUC